rnacentral:misc_RNA from 1 species
CUUUAUUGUUGCGGCCGCCAGC